UUCAUGCCAGCUGCCUCUCCAGGGCGCCCUUGGACUUCCUGCCGCUUGCCAGCGCUGCUGAUCUCGGGAAUCCCGUACAGCGCGGCCGAGGGCAGAGAUUUAUUCGCAUCCUUAGAAGUUUUACUCCUUUUCGCUUUGGAUUUGCUGGUCUCUUUGUGUGGGUUCCCCUGGGGAGCGGAGGGCUGCACGGAAGCGAAUUUGAGGCCUUCGGCUAAGACGGCGGCUGCACCCGUCCCAUUGGAGGCCGGACCUCCACAGUCCUUGGAAUUGCCGCUGCCAGUGCUGUUGGUGGAAUUAUUCAUCUCAAAUUUCUGUCUGUCCUUCUCCAAAUCGGCGUCCAAAUCAAUGAUUAGAUUUCCAACCCCGAUUUCCCAAUCAUCGCCACUGUCAUAAGCAUCAACUGUAUUUGGAUCCACACCUUUUCCUCCCGUGGGAAUGUUCACUGACAUCCUGAAGACGAGCUCUCUAGAAUAAAAACCCGAUGAACUUUCCUUGGGAGAUGAGGGGACAUUCGUUUAGCUCCGCUGGGCUUUCUCUUAAAGAAAAAAAAAAAAUCUUCCAAUCUUCCUCUUCUUUUUCUGCCCCACGGCACGGACGGACGGCCCAGGGGUUUUACACCCUACAGCCCAGGUCCACCAUUCCCUGUGGAGGGAAAAGUCGGAUAUUUCUUGUCUGGGUGUUGCCAGAAUAGAAAAGGGUUAAUACUGGGGAGGGGUCAGUAAGGGGUACAGGAGAGGAGAGAGAGUACGGUGCCUUAGGUACUAUCUCCAUAGUCCAGUAUCAAGGUUAAAAGAAAAUAAACAAACCCCCAAAACAUACCCAGGACAGUAAGCAUCUUACAGUAGUUAAAACGAAAAUCCUUUUACCAACAACACAAGGAUAAUCAGUUCUUAAAAAGCAUUAAAAAUCUUUAGGGAUCUGAUUCAAGCCCAGAAAGGUUUCUGUGUUUUGUUUUGUUUUGUUUAAGUUUAGGGUUUCUGCCUGGCACAUGGGUUACCUCAACCCCAGGAACACAGCAUGAACACUGAGACCAGAGAAACACAGCACCAAGCAUGUCCCAGCACUUGCAGUUUGAAAGGCUAGACUCGGGAAGUUCUCUGUCACUGGAUUUCAAGACCAUGUUACUAAAUUUUCCUUAUUUCUAUUGGAUUACCUCUUCUUGCAAAUUGUCUGGACAAUGUAGGUUUUGUUCCCAUGAAGGAACAGGAAAAAAUAAGCCGUAAUGUCUCCCACACAUACACAUUUACCUCUGUCUCUCUCUUCCAUAGCAUCUACACAAUUCUUUUAGAAAUAUAAAUGUACAAUGCUUUAAGAGCAUUUCUCUCAAUAAAAAAGACGGUGUGAUAUGAAAGGUUAAACAUCUGCCUUGGGAGGGAAAAAGAAAACUCCAUCUAAACAAUUCCCCCACACCCCUAGGUCAGAGAGUUGCUCAGUCUGUUAAAUACGGUGCUCCUGACUGUACAGGACACUGAUGAAGACAUACACUUAAGUGAUCUGCACCAAGGUGGCCUCACUGAAGGCAAAUGAGUGUGUGUUUGACAAAGAGCGGUUAAAACAGUUUUUUUUUUUUAAAGGAUCAGCCCCUUUUAACAGUUGCUUGUCAAGAAAAACAAUACACACACACACACACACACACACACACACACACACAAAUGCACACACAGAGAGACAUUGCUUACCUUUAAUCCUUUAUCAGUUUUUACUUAGGCCAGCAAAAUCAAAAGGCAUUUCCCACUCCACUCAGCAAACAAGCUUGUGCCUCAUUUUACUUAAACACCAAAUGAUCAAGAAGGAAGAGGCCAAACUAACACAUCUCAGCCAAAUAAUCACAAAAUAACGCGAUUGCAGCUCCCCACCCUCCGGGCAAAGGCUCCUUGUCUCCUCAAAAAAAGUGUCGCUAUACAGCUGGAUGAUAAUGUUUCACAUUCACAACACAAACACCAAAGAUCUUUUUUCCUCUUAACAAGCAUCGAGAAUAAGAGGAUGGAUGGGAAGAGAGAGAGAGAGAGAAGGAGAGGGGGGGAAGAGGAAGAUUGAGAGGAGGGGAGAAAGAAAGAGAGAAAUAUUAGUGAAAAAAGUUUUCCCAACUUCUCAUUCCGCCUUCAGUUCCAGACUUCAGAGUCACCGUGAUCAGUAAGUAAUGAUCCCAUGUAGCAAAGCUACAGGCGUCCGCUAGUACCAGGACGGAACGUGCUAACAUCGGGGGAAAUUAGUGAAAGGGAAGAAAGAAUAAGGAGAAAGGACUGAAAAUCUGGGCUGGAUUCCGCCUGUUAGUCUGGAAGUGGCAUUUUUUCCGCCCGUCUUGACAGAUUUGAUUUCUCCAACUAACUUAGAGACGAAGAGGGGGCAGGAGGAUGAGGAGGGGGCAGGAGAAGGAGUGAGGAAGGGCGGAUUGAAGCAGGCCGAGGAGAAGAAAGUGCAAGCCUUUCACAUCACGUGAGGAUCAAGGGCUCAAUUGGUUGUCGUGAGAACAAAAAUGGUGACAAGCGUAUCAAGAAAAUACUGAUCUGGUCUUUAAAAAAAAAAAAAAGCUGAAGGUCCCCCCCUCCCCCCCCACACAGUGGGCGAAGCUACAAGUUAUGAAUGUGAAAUAUUUCUCAGACCCAGGAUCUCGGAAGUUCUCUAGGAGUGAAAUGCAAUGACUGCAGGAGCAAAGCAGAUGUCUGAAAGAAACACCUUAUAAAGCCUUUCUCAACUCAUCCCCAAUUUUCUGGCUUCCUCAAGGGGCCAGGGAUGGCUGGGGGAGGGGAGGGCAUCUCCAAGCUCCCGGGAUUUUAAGGACGCCUUCAUGUAUUGAACAAAGAAAAAACAAAACAAAACAAAACAUUUUGCUAGCUUCCAAACUGGGUCCUAUGAUAAACACACCAUUGUUACUAUUUGCGGGUUUGUUUGGGUUGGGUGGGGCUCCCCCCACCACACACUGCUUCUCUUAAAUGGUGUUUUUGCUACUUGCCUUUUUAAAAAAAAAUAAGGUGGAAAAUGGUAGCUACAACCAUUACAUGUAAUGGAUGAAUUUCCCCUGGUUUAAUAUUGAAUCACUGGGCACACGAGGACGUGACAGGAGAGAAAAUCGGCUGGCUCGGCCGAGGCCCCCAUGUCCCUGGCUCAGUUUGGGCGGUGGCGGGGGGGGUCUGCUCGGCUCCGAGGGGAAACUGAGGCGGGCAGGGAAGGUGCGCUGGAGUCGACAGUGGGACCGGGGCAUGUACCGUGUCACUUUUCGUCUCCUUUGGGAUACAGCCCAAAAGGUAAUUUACCCUAACUUAGCCCGAGUGCCCAGUCAAGCUUAAUUUGUGUGAAGAAGUUACAAAUGCCUCACCCUCCACUGAAUCAAGCUCACCCUUCGUGGGCUGUUCUAAAUGCCAAGCCGAGCCCUGUAAACCAGUUCCUCAUUUCAAUGCAUGAAACUCGCACAUUCCCUUGCAUGAAGUCCCCGCUAAGUGCUAUAUAGCGACACCCCACGCAGCCGUACUUACGGUCUGUAUGGGAUCGAGUUGACCUUUUCCUCCUAACUGCAUUGAAUGUGUUUGGUGGCAGCCGCUUUAUUUUGGAAAUUAUAAAUUUCUUCAAUUUUUUUUAUUAAAGAUGGACCAUCAAAUGUCA